UAGGGAAUAUUAAAAAUGGACGAAAGUCUGAUCUAGCAACACCGCGUGUGCGAAGAAGGCCUUCGGGUCGUAAAGCACUUUUUGGAAGGAAUAGGAAGGAAUGUACUUCCAGAAUAAGUCUCGGCUAACUACGUGCCAGCAGCCGCGGUAACACGUAGGAGGCAAACGUUAUCCGGAUUUACUGGGCGUAGAGCGCGUGUAGGUGGUACUGUAAGUAGGGCGUGAAAGCUCCUGGCUCAACUGGGAGAGGCCGUUCCAAACUACAGAACUAGAGGAUGGUAGAGGGAGGUGGAAUUCCAGGUGUAGCGGUGGAAUGCGCAGAUAUCUGGAGGAACACCAGUGGCGAAGGCGGCCUCCUGGACCAUUCCUGACACUCAGACGCGAAAGCUAGGGUAGCAAACG
rnacentral:rRNA from 1 species